GGUGGCAGAGUUAUCGGGAUAACAUUAAGUCGGUAGAAGAGAUCUUCGCGGAAUUUACCUUCGGCAAUGAACUGGGCCAAAUUCUGAUUAGUUGCAGAAAUGAUGCGAAUGUCGACUUGUAUUGGGCUACUGGCACCAAUCGGCAGAAUUUCACGCGCCUCAAUAGCGCGCAGUAAUUUAGCCUGCAACAUUAAUG
rnacentral:misc_RNA from 1 species